ensembl:lncRNA
CAGACAGCGUUUUCUAUCUCCCAGCUGGAGUUUUUGUUUGUCUGUGACUGGAGAGUCAGAUUUUUGUUGAGCUUCACACUUGCAGAGGUUAAUACACUCUACUGAUCCCUGAUGGGAGAAUCAUCAAUUUUGGCAACAAAGAAGCCUGGUGGAUGUUUGUUUACAGUCUGAUGAUGGGACAUCAUGCUCUGCAUCUUCAAAGUUUGCCUCCUCAUUAUUAUUCAUACCCAGUAAUGUGAAUCUUUUCACAGGAUCAGAAAACAAAACCAGGAGGCGCGUACAUGUUUCUUCUCCAUGAUGUUUCUUCAAAUGUUUCUUCUGGAUGAUGAUAAGACUGACACGGGAUGCCACCUUUGGUCUUGUGAUGAAGCAAAGCUCAGGAAGAAGUGGGAUUAAAUGGUACCCACAUGUGUGCUGCUGAGAAGGAUGUACAGGGGCACCUGCAGCCAAAUCCAAGCCUCAGAGCAGAGCAGCAGUUUGUGCUCACAGAUGGUGACGGUGUGGAGAGACGGUGGUGUUUCCUCAGAAGAACCAGCAGAGUCACAAAGGACACCAGUCCAUCUCACCACCUUGACUUGCUGACUGAUGCUCGUCUGCACUGCACAGAGGAAAUCAGCUGACCGAGGAGUGUUUCUGAGUGAGGGGGGAGGAGUCAUCAUCCAGGUAAAGUGACGUAGAUCCGUGGACACACUUGUCUCCCCUUUAAAGGAGACGAUCCAAGUCAUCCUUAAAUAUGGGCAGCAUAUCAGUCUUGGACUGUCUAACCUGCAGCACUGAAUGACCACCACACAUGAGCAUGUUCCUGCAACAUUCAGCAUCUGAUCCUUCAUCUGUGUGCUUCUGCUUUUGUGUCACAUGUCAAACAGCUGGAGAGGAAACUACACCAGUGUACUGGGAUGUUUCAGCAACACGUGCCAGAUGCUGUUCCUUCAUGGUGACAUCACCAGAGACAGUCCCGCCCACCUCAGGACCUCGCCAUUGAUCAUGAUGAUUAUAAUGAUGACAGCGAGCGGAACUAAGACUGUAAAAAUCCACGACCAGAAUGUUUCUUUCUAAUUAUUAAUGAAUACUGAGAGCCUCUUUCUCUGUUUUGUCUGUUUUGGGGUUGUUUUUUUUACCUCAUUUGUUUCUAACAAAGUUCACAAACUCACACAGUUUACAUUCUGUAUGUUUCCAUCUUUACCAGCCACACUCUAACUGCAUUUAAGAAAAUAAUCCUUAGAAAUCGUCGUUUUUCUCUUUUGUAAUUGAUGAUAAUUCAGUGAAUAUACUGCGCUGCUUCCUUUUAUUGCGUCACACAUUGCUUUAAGUUUUUCAGUGUCCAGUUAUUUUUUACUGCUGUUUGAAUUCUCUGAAUGUUUGACCCUGUAGACUGUUUGAUGGACUGCUUGUCUUCCUGUUUGUUACCGCCGCCUGUUUUUUAAUAAAGAUUUGGAUUUCUGACUUCAAC